CCUACGGGUGGCAGCAGUGAGGAAUAUUGGUCAAUGGGCGCGAGCCUGACCCAGCCAAGUAGCGUGAAGGAUGACUGCCCUACGGGUUGUAAACUUCUUUUAUAAAGGAAUAAAGUGAGGCACGUGUGCCUUUUUGUAUGUACUUUAUGAAUAAGGAUCGGCUAACUCCGUGCCAGCAGCCGCGGUAAUACGGCGGAUCCGAGCGUUAUCCGGAUUUAUUGGGUUUAAAGGGAGCGUAGAUGGGUUGUUAAGUCAGUUGUGAAAGUUUGCGGCUCAACCGUAAAAUUGCAAUUGAUACUGGCAGUCGUGAGUACAGGUGAGGUAGGCGGAAUUCGUGGUGUAGCGGUGAAAUGCUUAGAUAUCACGAGGAACUCCGAUGGCGAAGGCAGCUUACUAAACUGCCACUGACAUUGAUGCUCGAAAGUGUGGGUAGCAAACAGGAUUAGAUACCCCGGUAGUC
rnacentral:rRNA from 1 species